GCUCCAGUAGCGCAAUUGGUUAGCGUGUGGUACUUAUACAACAGUAUUUAGGUGAGCCAUGCUGAGGUUGUGAGUUCAAUCCUCACCUGGAGCA
rnacentral:tRNA from 1 species